UGGGGAAUCUUGGACAAUGGGGGAAACCCUGAUCCAGCAAUGCCGCGUGUGUGAAGAAGGCCUGCGGGUUGUAAAGCACUUUUAGUAAUCAAGAGGGCUAUCUUCGGAUAGUCGGACUAAUUACAGAAACAGCACCGGCUAACUCUGUGCCAGCAGCCGCGGUAAUACAGAGGGUGCGAGCGUUAAUCGGAAUUACUGGGCGUAAAGAGCGCGUAGGUGGCCAUGUAAGUCAGGUGUGAAAGACCUUAGCUUAACUAAGGAAUUGCAUUUGAUACUGCAUAGCUAGAGUAUGGUAGAGGAAAGUGGAAUUUCCGGUGUAGCGGUGAAAUGCGUAGAUACCGGAAGGAACACCAGUGGCGAAGGCGACUUUCUGGACCAAUACUGACACUGAGGCGCGAAAGCGUGGGGAGCAAACAGGAUUAGAUACCCCUGUAGUCC
rnacentral:rRNA from 1 species